rnacentral:rRNA from 1 species
CUGCUAGCCAUAACUUAUAGAGAACCGUACCGCAAACCGACACAGGUGGACAGGUAGAGAAUACUAAGGCGCUUGAGAGAACUCGGGUGAAGGAACUAGGCAAAAUGGUACCGUAACUUCGGGAGAAGGUACGCCCUUUCUGGUGAUGGGAUUUACUUUCAGAGCUGGAGAGGGCCGCAGAGACCAGGUGGCUGCGACUGUUUAUUAAAAACACAGCACUCUGCAAAUUCGUAAGAAGACGUAUAGGGUGUGACGCCUGCCCGGUGCCGGAAGGUUAAUUGAUGGGGUUAUCUUCGGAGAAGCUCUUGAUCGAAGCCCCGGUAAACGGCGGCCGUAACUAUAACGGUCCUAAGGUAGCGAAAUUCCUUGUCGGGUAAGUUCCGACCUGCACGAAUGGCGUAACGAUGGCCACACUGUCUCCACCCGAGACUCAGUGAAAUUGAAAUCGCUGUGAAGAUGCAGUGUACCCGCGGCUAGACGGAAAGACCCCGUGAACCUUUACUAUAGUUUUGCACUGGACUUUGAUGAUGACUGUGUAGGAUAGGUGGGAGGCUGUGAAGUGAGGACGCUAGUUCUCAUGGAGCCGCCCUUGAAAUACCACCCUGUUGUUAUUGAGGUUCUAACUUGGUCCAGUAAUCCUGGAUGAGGACAGUGUAUGAUGGGUAGUUUGACUGGGGCGGUCUCCUCCCAAAGAGUAACGGAGGAGCACAAAGGUACCCUCGGUACGGUCGGACAUCGUACCAAGAGUGUAAAGGCAAAAGGGUGCUUGACUGCGAGAGUGACGGCUCGAGCAGGAACGAAAGUUGGUCUUAGUGAUCCGGUGGUUCUGAAUGGAAGGGCCAUCGCUCAACGGAUAAAAGGUACUCCGGGGAUAACAGGCUGAUACCGCCCAAGAGUUCAUAUCGACGGCGGUGUUUGGCACCUCGAUGUCGGCUCAUCACAUCCUGGGGCUGAAGCAGGUCCCAAGGGUAUGGCUGUUCGCCAUUUAAAGUGGUACGCGAGCUGGGUUUAGAACGUCGUGAGACAGUUCGGUCCCUAUCUGCCGUGGGCGUAGGAAAAUUGAGAGGAGCUGCUCCUAGUACGAGAGGACCGGAGUGGACGAACCUCUGGUGCACCGGUUGUCACGCCAGUGGCAUGGCCGGGUAGCUAAGUUCGGACGGGAUAACCGCUGAAAGCAUCUAAGCGGGAAGCCUCCCUCAAGAUGAGUUUUCCCAUGAAGCCCGUUGAAGACUACGACGUUGAUAGGCAAGGUGUGGAAGCGCAGUAAUGCGUGAAGCUAACUUGUACUAAUUGGCUGAUUGUCUUGACCAUAUAAUCUGAG